rnacentral:rRNA from 1 species
UACGUAGGGGGCUAGCGUUGUCCGGAUUUAUUGGGCGUAAAGAGCGUGUAGGCGGCCAGGCAGGUCUGCUGUGAAAACUCGAGGCUUAACCUCGAGAUGUCGGCGGAAACCAUCUGGCUAGAGUCCGGAAGAGGAGAGUGGAAUUCCUGGUGUAGCGGUGAAAUGCGCAGAUAUCAGGAAGAACACCGGUGGCGAAGGCGGAUCUCUGGGCCUGUCCUGACGCUGAGGCGCGAAAGCUAGGGGAGCGAACAGG